rnacentral:rRNA from 1 species
CCAAAAAUGGUAACUCCUUUAAAGACCAUCUAUUGCGGUGCUAUUUUCACGUGAUGCUUUUUAUCAUGGAUUUUUCUGAGCUGCCAGUUAAAAAUUUUUGUAAGUCAAGAAAUUGAGCACAUGAUAACAUCUUACUUAUGACUAAUAAAGUGCCAGCAGUCGCGGUCAUACUUUUAUAACGAGAAAAUUUCUAGAUUAGUUUACCGCUCUUAUUUUAUUGUUAGUAAAAUAUUAAUAACUAUUAUACUUUACUGCUACUAUUUAUUUAAUAACUGAUAACAAACAGGGAUUAGAUACCCCUUUAUGCAGUAAGUAUAUUACAAUCUGAAGACUAGAAUAACAUAUUCAAAACUCAAACCACAUGGCGGUAGUUUAUAUUUAGGGGAACUUACUAGGUAAUUGAUAACCACCAAGACAAUUCACGUUAAGUAAAAUUUUGUAUACCGUCGUCGUAGAUACACUAUAAUAGGGUAUCAGUAAAUGCUAAAUUUCAAGACAGAUCAAGGUGCAGACUAUCUUAACGCCUCAGCGAGUUACAAUAGAAAUUAUCUUCACAAAGUAUUAAAAUAUUCUAAUGUGUCGGACUUAAAAGUAAUUAAUAUUAUACUUAAUUUAUGAAUAGAAUCUAACUGUGC